GAAUGUCGAUCGGAACCUCGCAAGGCUCUCGUAUCAGCUUCGCACUUCCCCGGUGAGCAAAAGUUAUCAAAUAAUCAAAAUACGAAGGAUUAAAAAUCGUUUCCAAAUCAUAAUAUAACAUGUUUUUUUUUGGCUCACAGGGACAUUUUCGUCAUUUUUAUCGAAAACCUCCAAACUUGCUAAAAAUGUAGUAGCUAAGUCGAAAAUAUAUAUUUAAUGAUAAAAAAAAUUAAGUAUCUAAAACGUUCAUUUGAAGUGAAUUUGACCAUUUGAAUAUAAUAAGAAUAUUCAAUAAAAUAAAUAUUUUCUUGUAAAAUAAUUUUCAUAAAACUAUCGGAACAUAAUUCUUAUAGCGUAAAAGAUAAUUAUAUUCAUAUAUACUAUAAAGCAAGUAACCAAAGCAUAAAAUUUCUUUUACAGUGACACGUGGGCCCAUAUCUAUCCAAAAUGCAUCGGAAGCUGGAAACCUACAGCUUUUACCGAUUCGAGUCCAAAUGAAGGUCCUUGUUCAAGUCAGCUAACUACGAAAUUCCCUG
rnacentral:lncRNA from 1 species